AGCGCAGGCGGACCGGCAAGUUGGAAGUGAAAAACUAUGGGCUCAACCCAUAAAUUGCUUUCAAAACUGCUGGCCUUGAGUAGUGCAGAGGUAGGUGGAAUUCCCGGUGUAGCGGUGGAAUGCGUAGAUAUCGGGAGGAACACCAGUGGCGAAGGCGACCUACUGGGCACCAACUGACGCUGAGGCUCGAAAGCAUGGGUAGCAAACA
rnacentral:rRNA from 1 species